AGGCAGCGAGGACCUUCUGUACAACCAAUCACAUCAUAACACUUUGUAACUUUUCCACCAAAACUCUGCAGCAGACAAUGUUUACCUCAGAUCUGGCUGUUGGAAGUUGCCAUCUUUUAACCCUUGCAGAGCCUAGAGGGGACACAGAAUAUACUAAACAUACCAUAAAACAUAAUGGGAAGGAGACAUUACUUCAUAUGAGGUCUUUAAGAACUGAUGUUACAUAUGGUCGCAACGGCCUGCAAACCUUAUGAAUUUCAAGACCGUGAGGCGAGUCUCACGAUCAGUGAGACUCACCAGGAAGAGGUUUGCGGGGAAAGCGGGCUUAGCCUGCUCUCCCCGCAGACGAGCAGGCAGGAAGCCCUGGGCAGCCGGGCAGGGGCUGCGGGGAUUGGGGGCCGCGUGGCCCCCAGAAGUUCCAGGAUGCACCACACGAGUACGCGGAGCAUCCUGGAGAGACCCCCGAGCCCGGAAGGCUGCUUGCAGCCUCCCAGCUGGGGGUCUCCUCGUGUGUUGCCGCACCGUGGAGCUGCAGCAACACACAACCAAAAAACCUGGGUUAGCGGAGCGCACAUUUCGCUAACCUGGGCUAAGGGGAGGGGGAAUUAGCGGGGUUUGCUGCUGGGAGCCGUGCAGCUCCCACUGCAGCACAUGACCACCAAAAAGUGGGCUAGGCUCCCUUAGCCCACUUUUUGGCAGCCGUGAGAAUCACCUCAUUGUAGUUGUAAAGCUGUAAUCACUGCCCAAGCAUUAUUUCUCAGGCCAUAGUACAAACUUGUUUAACACAGGCCUCCUUCCCCCUCUCUCUGCCCCCAUGAAAUGCCUUGCCUGUUCUGAAAAACUGGAGGAUUGGUUGUUGUCAUUUAGGUUUUUUAGGUCCCUUUGUUAAAGCUCUUCUAUUUUCAACUGCCUGUUUGUAUAAAUUGCCAGAUAUGCUGUUGAGUUGGUGUCAGCUCCUGGCGACCACAGAGCUAUGUGGUUUUCUUUUAUAGAAUACAGGAGGGAUUUACCAUUGCCAUCUCCAGCACAGUAUGAGAUGAUGCCUUUCAGCAUCUUCCUAUAUUGCUGCUGCCCAAUAUAGGUCUUUCCCAUAGUCUGGGAAACAUACCAGCAGGGAUUCAAACCAGCAACCUCACGCUCCCUAGACAUGCUACUUCCCCACUGUGCCAUUAGGUUGCUUCAGACAUGGCAGUACGGCAUGUGUAUAUAUAAAGUGUACACAAGUGUACUGACAAAUGCCAUUUAGACUCUAUUAUCUGCUAACUGGAAUCUGGUGUCAGUUCUUCCAUGGAGGACAGAGGCCUAACUCAUUUACUCUCAUCAGAGAUGGGCAGUAUCUAAAAUACAGCAAGUAUCUCAAAACAUUGAAAAAGGAGCUAGCUCAUUCCAGAAAACAACAGUCUCCCUCCUCUUUUCUGCCUUUUCUUCUCUGACACAGCAAAGUAUGUUGGGGAGAGAUGUGACCAGGUUUGCCAUGUCCAAAGCCGGAGAACAGAGGAUCUGACCAAGCUGUGAGGUCAGGAGUGAAGAACAAAACUGAGAGGCUGCAAGAAGCAAGAUCCAAAGCUUGUUGCUUUUCUGUCUAAGACUGGAGGUGGGGCAGGUUGUAACUAAUCUAAAACCUGGCCUGGAUCAAGGAAUGGAUUCAUUAGAAACACAACACCAAGGUUCACCUAGUCCAGCUUUUCUAACAGUGACCAGCCCUGUGCUAACAUGCGCAACAAGAAAGCAAUUGCUCCUCACCUCAGCCCUGCUGUUAUUUCUACCCCAGAAACUUGUCUUCAAAGAUAACCAGAAGCCAUGCUGGAGGGAAGACGUGUGGGCAACUGUGCACUGAGAAUGAGAAGCCAAUGCACAAUUAUUUUGCUAUAAUAAUCUGAUUGUCUGGAUUCUGGAAAGACCCAUUAAUGGCAGCGUUUUCAUUUGUAGCCAUAGUAGCAAUCUCUUCUGAAUGUUUAGUGUAAAAUAAAUUCCCAACAACUUUGAUAUUUGUAAUAAUGGUGAAUCCUACCACCUCCUUUGCCACCAAUGCUAUGGUAAUACAUUCAUUAUCUCAUAGGUCAGCAGCUUGUUAAGUUCUUUUGAUAUGGGAAUUUAUCCCUCCUGUUUUGCUUUGAAGUCACCCGACAGAUGGAGAGCAUUCUUGGAAGUAGGCCAGCUCCGAUUGUCUUUUUUAAAUAAAAAGAAGAAGAAGAAGAAUCAGCCCUAACAAGUUUGUUUAAGCAGGUUAAUUUUGUUUGGGUUGAAAAUGAACUUUGUUAAUUUUUAAAAAAAACUCUCCAAAUUCAAUGUCUGUUGUGGUUUCUAUAGGAAACAUUUUGCUCUUUAUCCGACUGCAGCUGGGGGAAAAAAGAGUGAAAAAAAUAACAAAGAGAGGGAGAGGGAGAAAUCAGAGGAGAUCUGUUCAUAAUUAAGCAUCCCCAUAGGAGAUGCCAUUUCUGCUCUCAAAUGUCUGUCUGCAAUUCUCUAGACUCUGAAUACAGGGGAUAAAUUGGUGUGGUCUUUUUUGCAAGAUAUUUCCGUUUCCAUUAGGCCAAUUAGGAAAGGCAGUGUGUGUAACCUGUCUUCUGCAUGCCACAUAAGUGCAAUUUCCCACCCACCCCCAGUACAUGCAGAGGUUCCACAUUUCCCAAACCUGAUUAGCCAGAGAUAGCUUAGCAGGCUAACUCAUUAAUGUCAUUCAUUCGUUUUCCAGUAGCUCCUUCAAAUGUCUAUCAAAUGUCCAUCCCUUCAAGAAAUACUGUUUGAGUAGAGUGAGCAAAUGUUAGGCAUUACAAAUUACUUUCACCAUGUUUUGGGUGGUGGUUGUUUUUCAAGAAGAGUCCUAAAUCCUAGCAAUAUAUAGUUGAUAUGUAGCAAUAUAUAGCCCGUGCGGUCUAUACUAUAGUGUAGUGUUUAUAGUAUUAAUCUGAAAAAUAACAGUUUGCCUGUUUAUUGUUAUUAUCUAGACAA